AUGGCGGGGAUACGGUGGCCGCCGGAGGACCCGGAGAUGUUCCCGACGCGGAUGCUCGGGACCGGGGUCUGGGGCGGGCCCCCCGCCGCGGCCGCGGGGGGAGGCCCGCCCGGCGAGAUGGCGUCGGACGACGACCGCUCCGUGGCGGCCGACUCCUGGUCCAUCAAGAGCGACUACGGCAGCACCCUCGACGACGAGCAGCGCUACGCCGACACCGCCGAGGUGCUCCUCGCCUCCUGCCCCUCCUCGGCCUCCUCCUCCGCGGCCUCCGCCGCCGCGCCCUCCGCCUGCUCCUCCUCCCUCAGCGCCCACCACUCCUCCGACUUCAGCUUUGACAAGGAUGUGCCCGACGUUGUGCCGCCGAUGCUGGGCCUGCACAAUUACCAGGACGGCGCGUACGCCGAAGACCUAGCUAAUUACCAUGAACGCAGCCACGCGGAUGACUGGUUUGGCACCGAGGCCAUGGAUGUCCUUGUAGGCUGGACGAAAAACUUAUGCUCCAGCAAGGAUUUGCCUGGCUGCAGCGUACUUGACAUAGGAACCGGGAGCGGACGACUCUUACAGCAGCUUGCAAAACAAGGGUUUUCUGAUCUAACUGGCAUUGACUACAGUGAAGCCGCAAUUGAGCUUGCUCGAAACCUCGCAAUUCGUGAUGGAUUUGAGCACAUUAAUUUCCUAGUUGAUGAUGUUCUGGAGUCAAAGUUGGAGAGGAGAUUUGAACUUGUGAUGGAUGAAGGAACUCUGGAUGCAAUAGGGCUCCACCCUGAUGGACCUGUAAAGAGAAUGAUGUAUUGGCAGUCAGUGGCCAGCUUGGUUUCCCCUGGUGGCAUACUGGUCAUCACAUCCUGCAGCAGGACCAAGGAUGAGCUAGUGCAGGAGGUGGAGAACUUCAACCAGAGAAAGUUGGGCGCUAUGGUCUCUGAAGGAGCUCUAGCCAGCGAUGCCGUGGUGUUCAAGUACCUCGACCAUGUCCAAGCUUACCCAAACGUCGAUGGUGUUUGCAUCGCCACCGUUGCUUUCCUGCAUACAUGA
rnacentral:rRNA from 1 species